rnacentral:other from 1 species
UUGAAGCUGCAAUGUUUGUGAUUACGGUUGCGUUUAACCUCUACACAACAAUUAGGGAGUUUUACAUCGAGUGCUGGCUGUCAGGCCCCCAAAGAGGGGAAGGCAAAAGGUACUCUGCGAACACCCACUUGGGAGAGCGGGUGGUUAAAACGAACUAAUUGAAUCACGGCAUUGCGGCUUCACG